UUCCGUAGGGUGAACCUGCGGAGGGAUCA
rnacentral:rRNA from 1 species